rnacentral:rRNA from 1 species
UACAGAGGGUGCAAGCGUUGUUCGGAAUUAUUGGGCGUAAAGGGCGCGUAGGCGGUGCGGUAAGUCUGCAGUGAAAUCUCUGGGCUCAACUCAGAGUCUGCUGUAGAAACUGCCGUGCUUGAGUGUGGGAGAGGUGAGUGGAAUUCCCGGUGUAGCGGUGAAAUGCGCAGAUAUCAGGAAGAACACCCGUGGCGAAGGCGGCUCUCUGGAACGCAACUGACGCUGAGACGCGAAAGCGUGGGGAGCAAACAGG